GAGCCUUUAGUUCGAUAUCUCAUUUUAGUUUUUAAGAAAAUACCAGAAAAUUAUUUUUAGUAAUUACAAUCACACAGUUAUUAAUAAUAAUAUUGCUAUACAAUUAAAUUCAAUAUAAAACUCAAAUACAAUACCUAUCCCUCUAGAUAAAAUAAAAACCUGAAGCAACAAGGACGAGGGAACUCUAUAAAAACAACAGGAAUCACAAAUAAAUCUACUAAUCGUCUGCAGCUUCUUAUUGAAUCUCCGAACCUGUGUCACUGAAAGGGUGGAAGAUUUGGGGUGAGAACAAACCACACGUUCUCAGUAGGGAAUGGGAAUGCCGUAAAAGUAAUGAAUUUAAUGCAAAUAAUUAACUUUACUCAAUAAAACUAUUUUGUUAACCCUUUGAAAAUACUUUUAUUUCUACUUUAGAUAAAUAAUUACUUUUCUUUAAAUCUCUAAACUCAAAACAAAUUUUAAAUAUAAAACUAGUCACAUUUUCUGUCUCUCAGCCACAUAGUUAAUCCUCAGUCAAAUGUCAACUCCUAAUCACUUUAAUACACUCACAAACAAAUAGUGCAAGCAAGAGAUUCAAUUCAAUGUACAAGCAAGUCACAACAAGACAAACAAUACAAUUACAAAGUAAUAAAACAGGCUACCGCAAUCAAAUGCAAAUGCGCAAUCAAUAUGAUGCAUGUCUAUCCCUAACGCAGGCCAUGAGCUCAUGUGUCGGUUGCCUACCCGCUCCCGACAUUACCCAGGCACAAGUCUCAGAUAUGGUUUUUCAGAUGCAUCAGUGUGCUUAUAAGUCGUACGGCCAGGCCGCAUCAGUGUGACUUUAAGUCGUACGGCUAGGCCGCAUCAGUGUGACUUUCCAAAUCAAUAAGCAUACAUCUGGAAAACAGUUCUCAGUGUGUGGGCGUCCCCACUUUACAUUUGGCACUAAGGCCCAAACAAUGUCACAUUUGCUCUCCUGUGGCAAACACUUCAUUAAUUAAUAUAUUCUUUAAAUCCUUGUUCUCUGCUCUCCUGUGGCAGAGAUUCCUUUUCUUAAUAAACCGAGCUCAAAUCAUUACUUAAAACAAAAUCUCUCCUUAAAAGAUUGGGUUUAAAACAUUAUAUUCUUCUUAAUAAAUCAAACUUUAAAAUAGUUAAUUUUAAUUUUCCAAAACCAAAUCUUUUAAAAUAACUUCUCAAAUAAAACCUCAGAUUUUAUAAAAUUUCGGCGGCAUUUUCUCUAAAAUUCGGACUAAACCACCCUUACGGGUUCCCUAUUCCUCAACAAUCACAUUUUCACAACCUCAAUCCAAACUUAAUUCGACCAAUUAAACUCUCAUAACAACCAAACCAGUCACAUUCACAGCAAUAAUCCAUACUCAAUAUCAUUACUAUAUAUAUAUAUAUAUUUACAAUUAUCCAAUUAACUUUGUAGGCAUUCUAAAUUAAAAACUUAACUUUAAAAAUAAAUCUCCUACCUCCGUAUGAAAUUAAAAUCAACGAAAGUUCUGGAAAAACUUUCUGACCGAGCUGCUGAAAAGGAAAGCGUCAGAAAUCAUCUGUGCCUUCUAGAAAUCCAGUUGGCCAAAUUCAAAGGAAAGAGAAGUUACGCCACCGUCAACUUCUACCGGAUAAAAGUAACGCCAACGUGUAGAAAAAGAAGAUACGAACACUUUUAUCAGAUUAGAUUUUUUAUUGGAGUUACAGAUCGCAAGAAAUCGGGACCGGAAACUCGAAGGUUUCACGGUUCUCCUCAGCCACACUAUCGGUCUCUCUCUUUCUUUCUUUUUCUUAGUGGUUCGGUGAUUCAG
rnacentral:lncRNA from 1 species